rnacentral:rRNA from 1 species
AUUGAACGCUGGCGGCAGGCCUAACACAUGCACGUCGAACGAGUGGCGGACGGGUGAGUAAUGUCUGGGAAACUGCCUGAUGGAGGGGGAUCACUACUGGAAACGGUAGCUAAUACCGCAUACCAUCGGAUGUGCCCAGAUGGGAUUAGCUAGUAGGUGGGGUAAAGGCUCUCCUAGGCGACGAUCCCUAGCUGGUCUGAGUGGAUGCCCAGCCACACUGGAACUGAGCCACGGUCCAGAUUCCUACGGGAGGCAGCAGUGGGGAACAUUGAACAAUGGGCGCAAGCCUGAUGAAGCCAUGCCGCGUGUAUGACGAAGGCCUUCGGGUUGUAAAGUACUUUCAGCGGGGAGGCGUUACCCGCAGAAGAAGCACCGGCUAACUCCGUGCCAGCAGCCGCGGUAAUAC